rnacentral:rRNA from 1 species
AGAGUUUGAUCCUGGCUCAGGAUGAACGCUGGCGGCGUGCCUAACACAUGCAAGUCGAACGGAGUUAUUGUUAUGAAGUUUUCGGAUGGAUUAAUAAUAACUUAGUGGCGGACGGGUGAGUAACGCGUGGGUAACCUGCCUCAUACAGGGGGAUAACAGCUGGAAACGGCUGCUAAAACCGCAUAACAUUGCGAUGCCGCAUGGUGUUGCAAUUAAAUAUUUAUAGGUAUGAGAUGGGCCCGCGUCUGAUUAGCUAGUUGGUGAGGUAAUGGCUCACCAAGGCGACGAUCAGUAGCCGGCUUGAGAGAGUGACCGGCCACAUUGGGACUGAGACACGGCCCAAACUCCUACGGGAGGCAGCAGUGGGGAAUAUUGCACAAUGGGGGAAACCCUGAUGCAGCGACGCCGCGUGAGUGAAGAAGUAUUUCGGUAUGUAAAGCUCUAUCAGCAGGGAAGAAAAUGACGGUACCUGACUAAGAAGCCCCGGCUAACUACGUGCCAGCAGCCGCGGUAAUACGUAGGGGGCAAGCGUUAUCCGGAUUUACUGGGUGUAAAGGGAGCGUAAGUGGUUCGGUAAGUCAGAUGUGAAAGCCCGGGGCUCAACCCCGGGACUGCAUUUGAAACUAUCGGACUAGAGUGUAGGAGAGGUA